rnacentral:rRNA from 1 species
AGGACGAACGCUGGCGGCGUGCUUAACACAUGCAAGUCGAGCGGAAAGGCCCUUCGGGGUACUCGAGCGGCGAACGGGUGAGUAACACGUGAGCAACCUGCCCCUGGCUCUGGGAUAGCCUCCGGAAACGGGGAUUAAUACCGGACAUUCACUUCCUUCCGCAUGGUUGGUGGUGGAAAGUUUUUUCGGCCGGGGAGGGGCUCGCGGCCUAUCAGCUUGUUGGCGGGGUAACGGCCCACCAAGGCGACGACGGGUAGCCGGCCUGAGAGGGCGACCGGCCACACUGGGACUGAGACACGGCCCAGACUCCUACGGGAGGCAGCAGUGGGGAAUAUUGCGCAAUGGGCGGAAGCCUGACGCAGCGACGCCGCGUGGGGGAUGAAGGCCUUCGGGUUGUAACCCCUUUCACCAGGAGCGAAUCCAGACGGUACCUGGGGAAGAAGCGCCGGCUAACUACGCGCCAGCACGCCGC